rnacentral:lncRNA from 1 species
CUUAAGGCCCAGAUUGAUUUGAACAUACAGCCGGAGAGGGAGGAGGAGUCGUCGCCGAAAUCGGAUGCUUUAGGCAUUAUGAAACUUAUACGGGAUCCUGCCGCUUAAGACUGUUCUACGUGGCCUUGAAACAGGAUACUAGGCUUCGGGCACACCUUGAAAUAGGAUACUCAGGCUUCGGGCAUACUAUAGUUUCCUGCUACCAUCCUCCAUGUUUGAGGUUUUAGUCGGAGAAUGGUGGAGAUGGUUGGCCUUACAUGGAUUCUCUUCUUGUUAUUUA